rnacentral:rRNA from 1 species
UACGUAGGUGGCAAGCGUUGUCCGGAUUUACUGGGCGUAAAGAGCGCGCAGGCGGUCGUUCAAGUCGAGUGUGAAAGCCCCCGGCUCAACUGGGGAGGGUCACUCGAUACUGAUCGACUCGAAGGCAGAAGAGGGAAGCGGAAUUCCCGGUGUAGUGGUGAAAUGCGUAGAUAUCGGGAGGAACACCAGUGGCGAAGGCGGCUCUCUGGACCGAGACUGACGCUGAGGCGCGAAAGCGUGGGGAGCAAACAGG